rnacentral:rRNA from 1 species
CAAUAGCGUAUAUUAAAGUUGUUGCAGUUAAAAAGCUCGUAGUUGGAUUUCUGGUGGGAGCGAUCGGUCUGGCGCUUAGCGCGAGUACUUGCAUCGUCUCCGGCCAUCCUUGGGGAGAGUCUGUCUGGCAUUAAGUUGUCGGGCAGAGGAUCCUCAUCGUUUACUGUGAAAAAAUUAGAGUGUUCAAAGCAGGCUUAUGCCGUUGAAUAUAUUAGCAUGGAAUAAUAAGAUAGGACUUUGGUACUAUUUUGUUGGUUUGCGCACCAAAGUACUGAUUAAUAGGGACAGUUGGGGGUAUUCGUAUUCCGUUGUCAGAGGUGAAAUUCUUGGAUUUACGGAAGACGAACUACUGCGAAAGCAUUUACCAAGGAUGUUUUCAUUAA